AACGAACGCUGGCGGCAUGCCUAACACAUGCAAGUCGAACGAGACCUUCGGGUCUAGUGGCGCACGGGUGCGUAACGCGUGGGAACCUGCCUUUAGGUUCGGAAUAACUCCCCGAAAGGGGUGCUAAUACCGGAUAAUGUCUUCGGACCAAAGAUUUAUCGCCUUUAGAUGGGCCCGCGUAGGAUUAGCUAGUUGGUGGGGUAAAGGCCUACCAAGGCGACGAUCCUUAGCUGGUCUGAGAGGAUGAUCAGCCACACUGGGACUGAGACACGGCCCAGACUCCUACGGGAGGCAGCAGUGGGGAAUAUUGGACAAUGGGCGAAAGCCUGAUCCAGCAAUGCCGCGUGAGUGAUGAAGGCCUUAGGGUUGUAAAGCUCUUUUACCAGGGAUGAUAAUGACAGUACCUGGAGAAUAAGCUCCGGCUAACUCCGUGCCAGCAGCCGCCGUAACAC
rnacentral:rRNA from 1 species